CUGGCGGCGUGCCUAACACAUGCAAGUCGAGCGGAGAAUGCGGAUAUGUUUACAUAGAAGCAUCUUAGCGGCGGACGGGUGAGUAACACGUGGGUAACCUGCCUCAAAGAGGGGGAUAGCCUUCCGAAAGGAAGAUUAAUACCGCAUAAGCCUGCAGUACCGCAUGGUACAGCAGGAAAAGGAGCAAUCCGCUUUGAGAUGGACCCGCGGCGCAUUAGCUAGUUGGUGAGGUAACGGCUCACCAAGGCGACGAUGCGUAGCCGACCUGAGAGGGUGAUCGGCCACAUUGGAACUGAGACACGGUCCAGACUCCUACGGGAGGCAGCAGUGGGGAAUAUUGCACAAUGGGCGAAAGCCUGAUUGCAGCAACGCCGCGUGAAUGAUGAAGGCCUUCGGGUCGUAAAGUUCUUUGAUCAGGGAUGAUAAUGACAGUACCUGAAAACAAGCCACGGCUAACUACGUGCCAGCCGCGGC
rnacentral:rRNA from 1 species